rnacentral:rRNA from 1 species
AGAGUUUGAUCAUGGCUCAGAGCGAACGCUGGCGGCAGGCUUAACACAUGCAAGUCGAGCGGGCGUAGCAAUACGUCAGCGGCAGACGGGUGAGUAACGCGUGGGAACGUACCUUUUGGUUCGGAAUAGCUCAGGGAAACUUGAAUUAAUACCGGAUAAGCCCUUACGGGGAAAGAUUUAUCGCCGAAAGAUCGGCCCGCGUCUGAUUAGCUAGUUGGUGAGGUAACGGCUCACCAAGGCGACGAUCAGUAGCUGGUCCGAGAGGAUGAUCAGCCACAUUGGGACUGAGACACGGCCCAAACUCCUACGGGAGGCAGCAGUGGGGAAUAUUGGACAAUGGGCGCAAGCCUGAUCCAGCCAUGCCGCGUGAGUGAUGAAGGCCCUAGGGUUGUAAAGCUCUUUUGUGCGGGAAGAUAAUGACGGUACCGCAAGAAUAAGCCCCGGCUAACUUCGUGCCAGCAGCCGCGGUAAUACGAAGGGGGCUAGCGUUGCUCGGAAUCACUGGGCGUAAAGGGUGCGUAGGCGGGUCUUUAAGUCAGGGGUGAAAUCCUGGAGCUCAACUCCAGAACUGCCUUUGAUACUGAGGAUCUUGAGUUCGGGAGAGGUGAGUGGAACUGCGAGUGUAGAGGUGAAAUUCGUAGAUAUUCGCAAGAACACCAGUGGCGAAGGCGGCUCACUGGCCCGAUACUGACGCUGAGGCACGAAAGCGUGGGGAGCAAACAGGAUUAGAUACCCCCGUAGUCC